rnacentral:piRNA from 1 species
GAAUUCACUGGAUACGGUCC